rnacentral:rRNA from 1 species
GACUCUUGACAACGGAUAUCUCGGCUCACGCAUCGAUGAAGAACGUAGCGAAAUGCGAUACUUGGUGUGAAUUGCAGAAUCCCGUGAACCAUCGAGUCUUUGAACGCAAGUUGCGCCCGUAGCCACUACGCUGAGGGCACGCCUGCCUGGGUGUCACGC